rnacentral:rRNA from 1 species
UACAGAGACUGCAAGCGUUAUUCGGAUUCGCUGGGCGUAAAGGGUGCGCAGGCGGCCGUGUGUGUAAGGUGUGAAAUCCCGGGGCUCAACCCCGGAACUGCGCCUUAAACUACAUGGCUAGAGUACUGGAGAGGGUAACGGAAUUCACGGUGUAGCAGUGAAAUGCGUAGAUAUCGUGAGGAACACCAGAGGCGAAGGCGGUUACCUGGACAGAUACUGACGCUCAGGCACGAAGGCAUGGGGAGCAAAAGGG